rnacentral:lncRNA from 1 species
UUUAUUAAAUGAGGUCUCAUCAAGAUUCAUCUGAAACCCUUGCUGCUAUGGACCAGGACUUGCUGAUAUCCACAGCUGAGAGCCUUUGAGUCUCCGCUUCCUUGAGGCUACUUAGAAGCCAAGUCUCACUACCAAUAUGAGCUCCAAAUAUUUUGUCGAGCCGUUUAGCACUAAUUUAUUGUGUUUGUCUCAUGGAUGAAAUCUCCCAGGACUUUUUGUUUGCUUUCUCAUAUUUGUACUUGUUCUCUUGAAGCUGUGCCAAAGUAUUAAUUAGCCACUAGUCCGCCUAUUUACUGUCUGUGUAUGGACCUCCACAAGCACAGGGGCUCUUGUCCUUUUGUUGGGGAUGAACAUUUGUUGAAUCAUUUGGCACGACAGAACCUAGUAGUAGAAUGUCACACUCUGGAAAUCAUACAUUUUUGGCAACAUGGCCAAAACAGUAAGACCAGGAUCAUUAUGGAAGUUUGAAACAUUUUCCAUGUGCCCCACAAUCAAUUGAAAUUUCUUUCUCUUCACCAAGGAAUCAAGGCUUCUAGACACCACCGGAUGAGUCAAGGUACCGUGGCCCAGACAAACUAAGCACUGGUUCUGUCACCACAUAGACACAAAGGCAUUCAAGAAACCACAGCCCUCUGGCUUUGUUGCUCCUUCCUUCAUAAUCAAAUCAACAGAGUGUGUUUGUAGAAUUCACCCACAACACAAACAGAUGCCGCGAAACACCUUGGAGCGGUUGGCCGGCAGAAAUGCCCACUGAGCGGGCUGUGAUUCACUCGGGAGGAGGAAGGCCUCGGAGGGCAGCCAAUCGAAGACGGACCCAGGGAAAAGUCGCUGGGUUCUUACAGGAAGCGAUCUAAUUAUGUUACUGUAAUCCUCAAGCUCGCAUUUUUCAGCCACCUCAACACGAACUCACAGACUUCAACGAUUAUGUAAUUACGGAAAACUUCACAACAAACAUGAAGAUUCCUUCUGGAGGCCACAUUGAAGACCGGGAUGUGCAUUAGAGCGUGGGAGGGAAGCACGCAGCUCACAAAAGGAAGAGCAAAGAGAUGUAUUGAACUUAAAAGGUUACAUUUGAAAAGGGGCCCCUACCAGACCUCCCCUUUUGUGUGCACAUUUUUUGCACCUGCAACUGUUUGCGGGCUCGAAAGCAAUAGCCCUCCCCCUUCUCCCAAGAGGCCACGCUUUCAUGCCUUGGCCCCAAAUGUGUCAUUUUCCUGCCAGGGGGAGAAAUCAAAAGAAACCAAGUUUUUAGAACUUUGCUGUAAAGAAAAUAAUAGUUUUGAAAAGGAUUGGAGCCACAUUUUCAGGUUAGACACAGUUGUUAGAGAAAUGUCAGAAGGAAAACGUUCCUCUUCACUUUCUUUCCUAGCUCGUUGAAGUUCUUCAUUUCACUGGGUUCUGGGUGACAUCUGUAGCAUCCAUUUCAGCGCAGUCUGCAGCAGGCUUUUGACUCCACAGCAUGUAACUGUCCUCAGACCACCGUGUUCAAAGUCGAGAUUCCAAAUGGACCUUCCUGACUCUUCACAGAGAAGAUGCCAUAUAAAUCAUUUCCAUUAAAACAAACCUUUGAUACCACCAGCGAAUUGUGGAAUUUUGAUAAUGAUGCUUGUGAAUGAAGUGCUGACAAAUGGUCUUGCUUUAGAUGGUGUUUGUGGGUGGGGCUUGGGUUAGAGCCAGGAUCAACCUUGAUUUUGGCCACUGAUCCAUUUCCUCUCUCCCCACCACCCACCUCAUAUGUUGAGAUGAAAGUUACAGCAGAAAGCCUCUUUUGAACCAUUAUGAACAAUUCUAUUCAAAGCAGCAUCUGUGAAUUUUUAUAAGACUGGCCAAGAUUGGCUCAAUUAUUUCUCCAUUCUCUCCAGGGGAUAGAAAGUUUCCAAUCAAGGGUUACAAUGGAAGCAAAAAUGUUAUGUUCAUGGGAGGUAGAAUGCAUUGCUAAAUAGAUGGAAGACAAAAUAAAGUUCCUCAGUAUACAUAAUAGCUCAAGGAUGAACUUGGUUGAACAGAUUAGAGGAACA